CUUGGUCAUUUAGAGGAAGUAAAAGUCGUAACAAGGUCUCCGUUGGUGGACCAGCGGAGGGAUCAUUACCGAGUUUACAACUCCCAAACCCAUGUGAACAUUACCUCUAUGUUGCUUCGGCGGAGCCGCCCCGGCGCCCGGAACCCCCUGCGGUCCCGCGGCCCGGAACCAAGGCGCCCGCCGGAGGCCACAAACUCUUCUGUUUUUACAGUUUCUUCUGAGUGUGCCGCAAGGCAGUAUACAAAUGAAUCAAAACUUUCAACAACGGAUCUCUUGGUUCUGGCAUCGAUGAAGAACGCAGCGAAAUGCGAUAAGUAAUGUGAAUUGCAGAAUUCAGUGAAUCAUCGAAUCUUUGAACGCACAUUGCGCCCGCCAGAAUUCUGGCGGGCAUGCCUGUUCGAGCGUCAUUUCAACCCUCGAGCUCCCCUUUCGGGGGGAGCCCGGCGUUGGGGACCCGGCGCUAACAACGCCGGCCCCGAAAUGGAGUGGCGGCCCGUCCGCGGCGACCUCUGCGUAGUAACAACCACUCGCACCGGGACCCGGGCGCGGCCACGCCGUAAAACACCCCACCUUCCGAAUGUUGACCUCGAAUCAGGUAGGAAUACCCGCUGAACUUAAGCAUAUCAAUAAGCGGAGGA
rnacentral:rRNA from 1 species